rnacentral:lncRNA from 1 species
GCCAUUCCAGUUAAAUUUGGCUCUGCAUAUGAGUUCUUAGAGUUCUCAAUUGGUUGCAUAACAACUUGGAAGCAAUGGCAGGCCCUGUACUGCUAGGUGGCAAGAAGUUAAAAUUGCAUAAGUUCAAUCCAUAUGUGUUUGGAUUUGUCAUUAUCCACGUCUUGUGAUUAUGGUUUUGACAAAUUCAUAUGGGUAGGAACUCAUACACCAUAAAAAUCCAAGUGUCAUAAGGUUUCUCUCCGAUUCAUGAAAAUGAUGGUGAGGAAACACUUCCACUAAGUAGAUAGUAAUCUUUGCAUUCUCAAAGUUGUUAGUAGGCACACUAACAUGGACUUAUGAGAAAUAGCAAAGGUCUAAAGAAUUAAGACUAUGAUUACGAAAUCCCUUUUCAUAGUUCUGAAAUUGUUUAGACACACCAGUGAGCUAUCUAAGAUAAGGUGUAUGAUUUUUGAUAAAGUCUUAUCAAAGCAAUCUAGUAUCAGAAAUCUGAACUUUGGUAAAAAAGUCAAUAGCUGAUUUCUGAGUACAUGUCAAAGCUAGUGGGAGCAUNGAAAUUGUUUAGACACACCUGUGAGCUAUCUAAGAUAAGGUGUAGAAUUUUGAUAAAGUCUUAUCAAAGCAAUCUAGUAUCAGAAAUCUGAACUUUGGUAAAAAAGUCAAUAGCUGAUUUCUGAGUACAUGUCAAAGCUAGUGGGAGCAUAAGUGUUAUGCUAAUAAUCAUCAUGUUAGUGGGAGCAUGAUAAUUAUGAUAAGUAUUGCAAGUUAGCAAUGUUAAUUAUAGAAAAACAAAAGUUUCAAUUCGUGAGGUUGCAGGGGUUGAAAAAGUUGUUUUGCUAGAAUUAAGGGAGAGGAAAUUAUACUUCAUUUCAUUUAUGAAAAGCUUAGAUUGAGUUUAUAAUCAUUCUAAAGAGCUUAUAUUGAGAUUUUAAUUACCUUUAGUCAAGAAUAUAUAUAUGAAUUUCAUGCUGGAUUGGUUCAACUUAAGAAAAUUCUAUAUAUUGCGUUCUCAAAAUUCGAUUAUG